rnacentral:rRNA from 1 species
UGCAUGAAGUCGGAAUUGCUAGUAAUCGCGGAUCAGCAUGCCGCGGUGAAUACGUUCCCGGGCCUUGUACACACCGCCCGUCACACCAUGAGAGCCGGGGGGACCCGAAGUCCGUAGCCUAACCGCAAGGGGGGCGCGGCCGAAGGUAAAACUGGUGAUUGGGGUGAAGUCGUAACAAGGUACC